UACGUAGGCUGCGAGCGUUGUUCGGAGUUACUGGGCGUAAAGAGUGCGUAGGCGGUUUUCUAAGUUUGGUGUGAAAUCUCCCGGCUCAACUGGGAGGGUGCGCCGAAGACUGGAAGGCUUGAGUAUGGGAGAGGUAAGCGGAAUUCCUGGUGUAGCGGUGAAAUGCGUAGAUAUUCGCAAGAACACCAGUGGCGAAGGCGGCUCACUGGCCCGGUACUGACGCUGAGGUGCGAAAGCGUGGGGAGCAAGCAGG
rnacentral:rRNA from 1 species